rnacentral:rRNA from 1 species
UAGGGAAUCUUCGGCAAUGGACGGAAGUCUGACCGAGCAACGCCGCGUGAGUGAAGAAGGUUUUCGGAUCGUAAAGCUCUGUUGUAAGAGAAGAACGGGUGUGAGAGUGGAAAGUUCACACUGUGACGGUAUCUUACCAGAAAGGGACGGCUAACUACGUGCCNGCAGCCGCGGUAAUACGUAGGUCCCGAGCGUUGUCCGGAUUUAUUGGGCGUAAAGCGAGCGCAGGCGGUUAGAUAAGUCUGAAGUUAAAGGCUGUGGCUUAACCAUAGUACGCUUUGGAAACUGUUUAACUUGAGUGCAAGAGGGGAGAGUGGAAUUCCAUGUGUAGCGGUGAAAUGCGUAGAUAUAUGGAGGAACACCGGUGGCGAAAGCGGCUCUCUGGCUUGUAACUGACGCUGAGGCUCGAAAGCGUGGGGAGCAAACAGGAUUAGAUACCCUGGUAGUCCACGCCGUAAACGAUGAGUGCUAGGUGUUAGACCCUUUCCGGGGUUUAGUGCCGCAGCUAACGCAUUAAGCACUCCGCCUGGGGAGUACGACCGCAAGGUUG